rnacentral:rRNA from 1 species
UCAGGAUGAACGCUGGCGGCGUGCCUAACACAUGCAAGUCGAACGAAGCACUGCGGAUGGAGAUUCGUCAAAAUCUGCUUUGACUUAGUGGCGGACGGGUGAGUAAUGUGUGAGCAACCUGCCUUUCAGAGGGGGACAACAGUUGGAAGCGACUGCUAAUACCGCAUAAUGUAUUGGAAGGGCAUCCUUUUGAUACCAAAGGAGCAAUCCGCUGAAAGAUGGGCUCACAUCUGAUUAGCUAGUUGGUGGGGUAACGGCCUACCAAGGCUGCGAUCAGUAGCCGGACUGAGAGGUUGAACGGCCACAUUGGGACUGAGAUACGGCCCAGACUCCUACGGGAGGCAGCAGUGGGGAAUAUUGGGCAAUGGGCGAAAGCCUGACCCAGCAACGCCGCGUGAAGGAAGAAGGUCUUCGGAUUGUAAACUUCUUUUAUGAGGGACGAAGGACGUGACGGUACCUCAUGAAUAAGCCACGGCUAACUACGUGCCAGCAGCUGC